rnacentral:rRNA from 1 species
UACGUAGGGUGCAAGCGUUAAUCGGAAUUACUGGGCGUAAAGCGUGCGCAGGCGGUUGUGCAAGACAGAUGUGAAAUCCCCGGGCUCAACCUGGGAACUGCAUUUGUGACUGCACGGCUGGAGUGCGGCAGAGGGGGAUGGAAUUCCGCGUGUAGCAGUGAAAUGCGUAGAUAUGCGGAGGAACACCGAUGGCGAAGGCAAUCCCCUGGGCCGGCACUGACGCUGAGGAGCGAAAGCGUGGGGAGCGAACAGG